UACGUAGGGGUCUAGCGUUGUCCGGAAUCAUUGGGCGUAAAGAGCUCGUAGGCGGUUCGGCAAGUCGGAUGUGAAAUCUCCACGCUCAACGUGGAGGGGCCAUUCGAAACUGCCGUGACUCGAGUCCGGUAGGGGAGUGCGGAAUUCCGGGUGUAGCGGUGGAAUGCGUAGAGAUCCGGAAGAACACCGGUGGCGAAGGCGGCCUGCUGGGAUCUUGCUGACGCUGAGGCGCGACAGUGUGGGGAGCGAACAGG
rnacentral:rRNA from 1 species